CUUAUUAUCUAUCACGACGCACAUUUAGUCGUGGAUUGGAUGAGUGCCUGCCGGCGUUGUUAUCCGUAUACCUAAUCGGAUUGCUGGUCAAAGGCUCCUUCCUAAUUUUUCCGGUGCAGCCAAGUCCGGUUUACCAGGUUGAGUUGCUGCAAUGGGUAAUGCUCGAGUCGUGGCUUAAUGCUUUGGUUCAUGCUCGAGGCCUAUUGUGCGGCAUAUUUACACUUGAUCUUGGUUUUACUGGUGCGCAGGUACUGUGGGUGUGUAUCACACAAUCUAUUUGACCCUGACCUC
rnacentral:misc_RNA from 1 species